GACGGAGGGCGCAAGCGUUUGUUCGGAAUUACUGGGCGUAAAGCGCGGGCAGGUGGCCCGUUAAGUCUGCGGUGAAAUCCCGGGGCUCAACUCCGGAUAUGCCGCGGAUACUGGCGGGCUAGAGACUGGUAGAGGCGAGUGGAAUUCCAGGUGUAGCGGUGAAAUGCGUAGAUAUCAGGAGGAAUACCGGUGGCGAAAGCGACUCUCUGGACGGCAACUGACGCUGAGGCACGAAAGCGUGGGGAGCAAACAGG
rnacentral:rRNA from 1 species